UCAGCCCCCCGCCCGGCCAGCCGCCCCGUCCGGGAGGGAGGUGGGGGGGUCAGCCCCCUGCCCGGCCAGCCGCCCCGUCCGGGAGGUGAGGGGCGCCUCUGCCCAGCCGCCCCUACUGGGAAGUGAGGAGCCCCUCUGCCUGGCCAGCCACCCUGUCCAGGAGGGAGGUGGGGGAGUCAGCCCCCCACCCGGCCAGCCGCCCCGUCCGGGAGGGAGGUGGGGGGGUCAGCCCCCCGCCCGGCCAGCCACCCCGUCCGGGAGGGAGGUGGGGGUGUCAGCCCCACGUCCGGGAGGGAGGUGGGGGGGUUCAGCCCCCCGCCCGGCCAGCCGCCCCGUCUGGGAGGGAGGUGGGGUCAGCCCCCCGCCCGGCCAGCCGCCCCGUCCGGGAGGUGAGGGGCGCCUCUGCCCA
rnacentral:lncRNA from 1 species